AUACGUAGGGAGCGAGCGUUGUCCGGAUUUACUGGGUGUAAAGGGUGUGUAGGCGGGUACGCAAGUCAGGCGUGAAAUACCGGGGCUCAACUCCGGGGCUGCGCUUGAAACUGUGAAUCUUGAGUGAAGUAGAGGCAGGGGGAAUUCCUUGUGUAGGGGGGAAAUGCGUAGAUAUUAGGAGGAACACCAGUGGCGAAGGCGGCCUGCUGGGCUUUAACUGACGCUGAAGCACGAAAGCAUGGGGAGCAAACAGGAUUAGAUACCCUGGUAGUCCAUGCCGUAAACGAUGAUUGCUAGGUGUGGGGGGACUGACCCCUUCCGUGCCGGAGUUAACACAAUAAGCAAUCCACCUGGGGAGUACGAUCGCAAGAUUGAAACUUAAAGGAAUUGACGGGG
rnacentral:rRNA from 1 species